GACGAACGCUGGCGGCGUGCCUAACACAUGCAAGUCGAGCGAAGUUAUUCCUUCGGGAAUAACUUAGCGGCGGACGGGUGAGUAACACGUGGGUAACCUGCCUUAUAGAGGGGGAUAGCCUUCCGAAAGGAAGUUUAAUACCGCAUAACAUCAGAUUCUCGCAUGGGAAUUUGAUCAAAGGAGCAAUCCGCUAUAAGAUGGACCCGCGGCGCAUUAGCUAGUUGGUGAGGUAACGGCUCACCAAGGCGACGAUGCGUAGCCGACCUGAGAAGGUGAUCGGCCACAUUGGGACUGAGACACGGCCCAGACUCCUACGGGAGGCAGCAGUGGGGAGUAUUGGACAAUGGGGGCAACCCUGAUCCAGCAAUGCCGCGUGGGUGAUGAAGGCCUUCGGGUUGUAAAGCCCUUUCGGCGGGGACGAUGAUGACGGUACCCGCAGAAGAAGCCCCGGCUAACUUCGUGCCAGCCGCCGCCGUAAAAC
rnacentral:rRNA from 1 species